CCUGACUCCCUUUCCAGGAAUAAAAAUUAUAAUUUUAAAUUAACACCUAUUCCACUAAGAAUACAUUAUUCCGUUGGACUAAACAAAUCAAACAAUAUUUUUAUCAUUCUAAUAAAAUGAUUCAUUCCAUUUUUCCUCCUAUUCCAUCGAUCCAAACUUAGCAUAAGGCCUCAUUAAGAGUAAUUCAUUAUCUGAUGUGAUAAUUUUUCACACUAUUUGUAGUUAUGCUGAAGCCCUGGCUUUACAUUGUCAAGGAAAAAUAUGAUUCAUAACCUAUCUCAGGAUUUAAUUACCCAGUGAAGCUGCUUUCAAAACAGAGCUUCACCAUGCAUGUCAGAAUUUUACUUAUAAUUGUUAUGCUAGCAU
rnacentral:lncRNA from 1 species